rnacentral:rRNA from 1 species
AUUGAACGCUGGCGGCAUGCCUUACACAUGCAAGUCGAACGGUAACGGGCCUUCGGGUGCCGACGAGUGGCGAACGGGUGAGUAAUGUAUCGGAACGUACCUUUCAGUGGGGGAUAACGUAGCGAAAGUUACGCUAAUACCGCAUAUUCUGUGAGCAGGAAAGCAGGGGAUCGCAAGAACUUGCGCUGAUUGAGCGGCCGAUAUCCGAUUAGCUAGUUGGUGAGGUAAAGGCUCACCAAGGCGACGAUCUGUAGCGGGUCUGAGAGGAUGAUCCGCCACACUGGAACUGAGACACGGUCCAGACUCCUACGGGAGGCAGCAGUGGGGAAUUUUGGACAAUGGGGGCAACCCUGAUCCAGCCAUGCCGCGUGAGUGAAGAAGGCCUUCGGGUUGUAAAGCUCUUUCGGCCGGGAAGAAAUCGUAUCAGCUAAUACCUGGUGCGGAUGACGGUACCGGCAUAAGAAGCACCGGCUAACUACGUGCCAGCAGCCGCCGUAACAC